AUGUGUGUGUUCUAGAGGCCAGAAGAUGAUGUUGGUCCCCUGAGCUGGAGAUACAGGAGGUUGUGAAC